rnacentral:misc_RNA from 1 species
GAUGAAGAACGCAGCGAAAUGCGAUAAGUAAUGUGAAUUGCAGAAUUCAGUGAAUCAUCGAAUCUUUGAACGCACAUUGCGCCCGCCAGUAUUCUGGCGGGCAUGCCUGUCUGAGCGUCAUUUCAACCCUCAUGCCCCUAGGGCGUGGUGUUGGGGAUCGGCCAAAGCCCGCGAGGGACGGCCGGCCCCUAAAUCUAGUGGCGGACCCGUCGUGGCCUCCUCUGCGAAGUAGUGAUAUUCCGCAUCGGAGAGCGAUGAGCCCCUGCCGUUAAACCCCCAACUUUCCAAGGUUGACCUCAGAUCAGGUAGGAAUACCCGCUGAACUUAAGCAUAUCAAUAAGCCGAGGA